UCGCCAGUCGCCACAGGUUGCAUUUUAUUAUCUCUGUAAUUACCACUUGAGUUACCACUAAAAGGGAUAUCAGGGAUUCAGGGGAAGCAUGGCGACCCUCUCUUCCUUCUCCCUUCCUAAACUCCUUCCGGAUUUCCGACGCUCAAAUUCCAUAGCUAAAAUCCCCGCCAUCUCGGUUUCCGGAAUCGGCACCAAUAGUCCAUUCCAUACACGAUUCAGUUAUUUCAGGUAUGAGAAAGGCUCAAGAUCGGGAAUGAAGCAGAGGCUGUGUACAGUGUUUGCUUCAGACACCAAUCCAUCAGGCGAAGAUUCCCCUAAAAAUAAAGCAAAGGGGAGCGAAGAUGCAAAAGGCCCUCCUUUCCUUACCAUUUUGGCAGGUUUUGUUGCCUUUUUGGUCAUAUUUUGGAUUGUAGGAUCAAUUGUUACGUGGCUUAUUGGUUUAAUUGUCAAUGUGCCUAAAUUAAAAUAGUGCCAACAUUACUUUUUCACUUCCUUGUAGAAUGGCUUAAACAGAGAGAUUCUAU